AAUGCCGCGUGAGUGAUGAAGGUUUUCGGAUCGUAAAGCUCUGUUGCCAGGGAAGAACGCUUGGGAGAGUAACUGCUCUCAAGGUGACGGUACCUGAGAAGAAAGCCCCGGCUAACUACGUGCCAGCAGCCGCGGUAAUACGUAGGGGGCAAGCGUUGUCCGGAAUUAUUGGGCGUAAAGCGCGCGCAGGCGGUCAUUUAAGUCUGGUGUUUAAUCCCGGGGCUCAACCCCGGAUCGCACUGGAAACUGGGUGACUUGAGUGCAGAAGAGGAGAGUGGAAUUCCACGUGUAGCGGUGAAAUGCGUAGAUAUGUGGAGGAACACCAGUGGCGAAGGCGACUCUCUGGGCUGUAACUGACGCUGAGGCGCGAAAGCGUGGGGAGCAAACAGGAUUAGAUACCCUGGUAGUCCACGCCGUAAACGAUGAGUGCUAGGUGUUAGGGGUUUCGAUACCCUUGGUGCCGAAGUUAACACAUUAAGCACUCCGCCUGGGGAGUACGGU
rnacentral:rRNA from 1 species